CCUCCAGGUCAGAGAUUUGAACUAUGGUCAACUAUGUGGGAGUCCAGCAACGUAACGAGCCCUGCAAGUGCAUGCAAUUAAAAAGGAAGUGGAACUGAGGAAUUAAGAUAAUAGGGCCCAACCUCAGUGGCACCGCAGCAGCUCCAUGCUCUGCAGCACUGCAAGCCGUAUGAAAGAUUGGGAUUUGGCUCUCAGAUUGACCUGUACACACCAGAGGCCAUCCUUUAUUUGUUCCUCCUGUCCUGACAAUGGGAAGCCACAAAGCCUCUUUCGCCUCAUACCCGAGGCUACUGUGCAAGCACAAACUUCGAGGAAAAACAUAAAGAUAAGGAAAGUACCCACCAAUGUUUUGUCUACUUAUUACUAGUUCUCCAAGCUUACUAUGAAUCUGGAUUCCAUCUAACAAG